UGCGUGUUUCCUGUCACCCAGGAACAGGAGAUAGAGCACACAUUGCCAGUUCUUCCUCGUGCUGUGGAUGAAACGGGCUUUUUCCUAUCCUCUUGUGCACUGGGCACACUGUCUGUACUUGAUUGCAGCCUCCUUUGCCCUGUGAACUCCUUAGCCACCUGUGCAUACUAACGUUUGGUGUAAGUCGAAAGGCUGAAGUGUGCAGAGCCAUCACCACAGUAUAUGAACAUACCGCUCUGUUUACUUCUCCAGAUCACCACACGGGAGGACAUCAACUCAAAGCAGGCUGCUCCAGCAAAAGCAGACCUGGAGCCAGAAUCUUUCCGACCAAACCUAAGUGACCCCAGUGAACUCUUACUGCCUGAUCAGAUCGAAAAGCUUACUAAGCACCUUCCACCGAGAACCAUUGGCUACCCAUGGACUCUUGUGUACGGUACUGGGAAGCAUGGCACCAGUUUGAAGACCCUUUACCGAACAAUGACAGGUCUAGACACUCCGGUGCUGAUGGUGAUUAAAGACAGUGAUGGGCAGGUUUUUGGUGCAUUAGCAUCAGAGCCGUUUAAAGUAAGUGAUGGCUUUUACGGUACUGGAGAAACAUUUGUUUUUACAUUCUGUCCAGAAUUUGAGGUCUUCAAGUGGACAGGAGAUAAUAUGUUUUUUAUCAAAGGAGACAUGGAUUCGUUAGCGUUUGGUGGUGGAGGAGGAGAAUUUGCUCUUUGGCUUGACGGAGAUCUCUACCAUGGAAGAAGCCAUUCCUGUAAAACGUUUGGGAAUCAUACACUGUCUAAGA
rnacentral:lncRNA from 1 species